CGCGUAGGCGGGCUGUCAAGUCUGGGGUGAAAUCCCGCGGCUCAACCGUGGAACUGCCUCAGAUACUGACGGCCUCGAGGGAGGUAGGGGCGAGCGGAACUGUGAGUGGAGCGGUGAAAUGCGUUGAUAUUCACAGGAACUCCGGUGGCGAAGGCGGCUCGCUGGACCUUUUCUGACGCUGAGGCGCGAAAGCUAGGGAGCAAACG
rnacentral:rRNA from 1 species